rnacentral:rRNA from 1 species
GAUGAACGCUGGCGGCGUGCCUAAUACAUGCAAGUCGAGCGAACAGACGAGGAGCUUGCUCCUCUGACGUUAGCGGCGGACGGGCGAGUAACACGUGGAUAACCUACCUAUAAGACUGGGAUAACUUCGGGAAACCGGAGCUAAUACCGGAUAAUAUAUUGAACCGCAUGGUUCAAUAGUGAAAGACGGUUUUGCUGUCACUUAUAGAUGGAUCCGCGCCGCAUUAGCUAGUUGGUAAGGUAACGGCUUACCAAGGCAACGAUGCGUAGCCGACCUGAGAGGGUGAUCGGCCACACUGGAACUGAGACACGGUCCAGACUCCUACGGGAGGCAGCAGUAGGGAAUCUUCCGCAAAGGGCGAAAGCGUGACGGAGCAACGCCGCGUGAGUGAUGAAGGUCUUCGGAUCGUAAAACUCUGUUAUUAGGGAAGAACAAAUGUGUAAGUAACUAUGCACGUCUUGACGGUACCUAAUCAGAAAGCCACGGCUAACUACGUG